GUGUUACUGACGCUAAAGCUCGAAAGUGCGGGUAUCGAACAGGAUUAGAUACCCUGGUAGUCCGCACGGUAAACGAUGGAUGCCCGCUGUUUGCCCUUCGGGGUGAGUGGCUAAGCGAAAGCGUUAAGCAUCCCACCUGGGGAGUACGCCGGCAACGGUGAAACUCAAAGGAAUUGACGGGGGCCCGCACAAGCGGAGGAACAUGUGGUUUAAUUCGAUGAUACGCGAGGAACCUUACCCGGGCUUGAAUUGCAGAUGACGGAUCUAGAGAUAGUGACUUCCUUCGGGACAUCUGUGAAGGUGCUGCAUGGUUGUCGUCAGCUCGUGCCGUGAGGUGUCGGCUUAAGUGCCAUAACGAGCGCAACCCUUCUCUUCAGUUGCCAUCAGGUUAAGCUGGGCACUCUGGAGACACUGCCACCGUAAGGUGUGAGGAAGGUGGGGAUGACGUCAAAUCAGCACGGCCUUGACGUCCGGGGCUACACACGUGUUACAAUGGCCGGUACAGAAAGUCGGAUGCCCGUAAGGUCAUUCUAAUCAAGAAAGCCGGUCCCAGUUCGGACUGAGGUCUGCAACCCGACCUCACGAAGCUGGAUCGCUAGUA
rnacentral:rRNA from 1 species